AUUCUGGUUGAUCCUGCCAGAGGUCACUGCUAUCAGUAUUCGACUAAGCCAUGCGAGUCAAAUGUUCUUCG
rnacentral:rRNA from 1 species